GUCUGCAGAACACACGAUAAAAUCAAAACGUUGACAGUAAAAGUUUUGGGAGAAAUUAUGGAGGAAGGCAACAGCUCAUUCAAAUUUUCAGGUAUG